rnacentral:rRNA from 1 species
UACCAGCACCCCGAGUGGUGGGGAUGAUUAUUUGGCCUAAAGCGUCCGUAGCCGGCCGGGUAAGUUUCCCGUUAAAUCCAACGUCUCAAGCGUUGGACUGCGGGAAAUACUGCCUGGCUAGAGAGUGGGAGAGGUCAGCGGUAUUCUGGGGGUAGGGGCGAAAUCCUUUGAUCCCCGGAGGACCACCAGUGGCGAAGGCUGCUGACUAGAACACGUCUGACGGUCAGGGACGAAAGCUGGGGUAGCGAACCGGAUUAGAUACCCGGGUAGUCCCAGCCGUAAACGAUGCAUGCUAGGUGUUGGGUUGGCCACGAGCCACCCCAGUGCCGCAGGGAAGCCGUUAAGCAUGCCGCCUGGGAAGUACGAUCGCAAGAUUGAAACUUAAAGGAAUUGGCGGGGAGCACCACCAGGCGUGAAGCCUGCGGUUU